AAUUAUUCUUUCCUUGUAGAUAUUUUGUAAAGUCCCGAAAAGCCUUUAUGAAACUGCUAGUACAAGGUUUCAGCAAAAGGAAAGUUAAUCUCAACAUGACCCAUGCAAUAAUCCACACCUUUCAGACUAACAAAGACAAUGCCAAAUUAUACGACUCUCCAAGAUAUUCAGCUAACCAGAGUGGCUCAUUCCACUUCCAGGAAGAUACAGGACGCAACACUGCAGAAUUCUUUGGCUAAGCACAAGAACUGGUGAUUCUUUGGAUUCAUGUGAUCUUAGGAAAUACUUCUAAAUAAAAGAUAAAAAGACUGAAACCCUCCAGACAUCCAGAAAAUGUGGUCUUCUCUACUCUUCUGACACGUGAUAUAGGAAAAGAUACAGAGCAAACAGGACGCUCCAGAGGAGCAGUUCCAAGGCAAAGGGCAGGAGCAGCACGGUGUGGGAGAAGAGGGAAGAAGAGGGAGGGGCAGCUGAAUUGCCAGCACCUGAUAGCCUCCCAGCCAAACCAGUCAAGAUCACUUUUCAGAGGCUCCAGGAUCUACCAUUAGAUCCCGAUCUACUCACUGUUUCCAGUACUGCUAAUCUGUCUUCUUUGGGAAGUGUAAAAAAGGAACAGGAUGGCAGCUCCUAAUACCCUAGAGAACUGGAGGCAGUAAGACAAGCUUCCUCCAAACUUAGAACUGUGAGGUCUACACCUACACACCCCCACACAUGCACAAUUAAGGUUCAAUUUUGACAGAUUACACAAAGUGGAGGUAGGUAGCUCUUCCCCUGUAAGUAUAAAAAUACCAGAAAGCAUGCAACACAUUUUAAAACAAAUUGUGGUUUUAAGCCACUUGAGAUUAUUUGGAACAUGAACCACAAGUUUUUAAUGUUUGGGAUCGGCAACACCCUCUCCUCCAAGUCAUUCCUUUACACGUACUUCUGCCAGAAAGUUGAUGAAAUACUAGCCCUCUCCUCAAAAAUACUAAUUACGUAGACUGAAGACUCUCCAGGAGCAAGAUUCCAUGCAUUAGUUGUGCUAUUCUAUCAACGCUUUCUCUACAUCCCAUCCAACAUUUGUACAUUGCAAUCCAAUGAGACAACGUCUUCAGGCAGAGUCCUUGUCUUCUUACCUGCCUCAAUGUCAACAUUGUUGAAACUAUGCAAACAUAAUAAAAGCAAUAUUUAUGGAGACAAUAUCAGCAGUUCUUACAAUGUGCGGUGUAUGUGUAAAUCUGUACUCAACUACUAUAAAUAGGAAUCUUAAAAAACAAAAAUCAAAGGAAUAAUCUGUAAAGGGGGAAAAAUGACCUUGCUUCUAACAAAUACAGAAAGACCAAAGGUCUAAGGAUACAGUGAUGUUUUUCAAUUGGAUCAAGUAUGUUUACUUUUCCCACUUGCAUGACUGAACUGUUAGGCUCCAAGGCCACAAUUUACAUAUAUAUUUACUUAAUUUAACUUGCCUUUUUUUCCCAAGUCAAAAACAAAACGUACUCAUUGAAUUUUCAAGUCAUAAAGGUAUUUUGCCACAGGUACAUUUUAUUUUUAUUAUAGUAAUGCCGAGAGACCACCAAAUCACAAUCAGGUGCUGAAUGUACUAAAUAUUGUAAAUAAUGUCUAAAAGGAAAACAUGUCAUGCUGUCCUUACAUGUAGGAUAUCUAGCUUAACUUGAAUUUUGUUUUUCCUUAGAGGGUGGUACAGACAUAUUCCCCAAUAUGUGUUUAUACAACAUCUAGCACAAUGUCGCUCUGAUCCUGAUUAGACCUUGUUUAGACAAUACAAACCCCAAUAAGAGAAGGAUACUAUGCACAACUGAAAGUAAUUUCUAAGAAAAUAAGUUGUAAACAAGUUAAUGUUAA